rnacentral:rRNA from 1 species
UACAGAGGGUGCAAGCGUUGUUCGGAAUCAUUGGGCGUAAAGGGCGUGUAGGCGGUCUGUUAAGUCAUGUGUGAAAUCCCUCGGCUCAACCGGGGAACGACGCAUGAAACUGACAAGCUAGAGUACCAAAGAGGGGGGUGGAAUUCCCGGUGUAGCGGUGAAAUGCGUAGAGAUCGGGAGGAACAUCAGUUGCGAAGGCGGCUCUCUGGACCAGUACUGACGCUGAGGCGCGAAAGCGUGGGUAGCAAACAGG